rnacentral:misc_RNA from 1 species
UCUCUGUUUGUUUACAUUCCGCCGCAAGUCAUGUGUGGGAGCAGUCAGUGGUGGAUGAAAUUGUGACAAAAUUUACCGGAUGGAAGCUCCAGCACCGACGUCGGUCUGUCCUGCCGACGAAGACCGGCGGUUACGAUGCCGACUAUGUUUUCACACCGGGACCAGCUCUCAGUUGGUGGAGGUUUUCUCCAAAAGCCGCGACCUGUCCAAGCGAGUCAUCAGCUCCCUGGGAGUGAAGAUAAAUCGGAGCGAAAAGGGCGUCCGGAUUUGUACGGUUUGUGAAACUAUCGUCGAUAUCAUUCAAAGCUUCCAAGCAGUUUGCAAGCAAACCAAUCAGCUGCACCACGAUCGGCGGAACUUCCUGCUGUACGAAUCGUUUUGGCCCGGCCACGAGCAGGACGCGGUCAAGGUUACGGAAAAGAUGAUUUUGAAUCACCGCUCCCGGGUUGAUAAGACGUUCAGCGACGUUAGCGCCCUCUUACCUAAGGUUGAAGUAGAAACUCAAAACCGACCGAUGGUAGCAAUUGCGGCCGUCGACUUGGAGAAGGGAGACAAUCCGAAAGAACGCGACGAUAGCAUUCCUGCAACGGAAAUGGUUUUGUGUGAGCCAGAAAUUAAAGAGGAACCUGGAGAGGAGGACCACUUUAUGGAAGAGUUUCCCGGGGAGUUGGAUCAAGAGCAGUCGUUUCCUAGCGACGGGGCUGAGAAAGAUUGGAGUGAUUCGGACAGUGAUUUCCGGAUAGAAGAAGUUGAUUCUGUACCGGGGAAUAGCGAAUCAGAGGGCGAAGAAGAAACUUCAAUUUCGAAGCACGUCAAACCGGCCAGAGAUCGCAAAAAGCAAUCAGAUUCUAUCGAUGAAGAGAAAGAUUCAACACCCAAUGUCAAGAAUCCCCCGCGUCGCCGUGGUAGAAAGAAGAAAGCUGACGCUGAAAAAGAGCAAACCGAGAACGACGAUGAUGAGUACGAGCCGAGGGAAAAGGGCAAGCGAGGACCUCGGCGCAAAAAGGUUCGCAAAUCUGACCCAAGCGUUUGCGAAAUUUGCGGCCAAACCGUAGCUUACUUCGUCAAGGAAUCCCACCACAACCAGCAUCUCGGCAUUCGGCCGUACAAGUGUGACUUUGAUGGCUGUGGACGGACGUACUUUUCGCGCAACGAUUUGAGAACGCACAGCAAACGCCACCAGAUAUCGUACCACGUUUGUGAGAUCUGCGGGCGGAACAUCAAGGGCGUGGAGUGGUUCCGGCGGCACGUAAAAACUCACACGGAGGGACCACAAUUUACGUGUGAGGUGUGCGGCAGCAAGUUCCGCCGGAAAGCGCAACUUCAGACGCACAUGGUCACUCAUACGGGCCUUACUCCGCACGAGUGUGGAACCUGUGGGAAACGGUUUGCACUGAAGUACAAUUUGGAAGCGCACGUGAAACGGCACCUGAAAAAGGAAGAAUCAGAACCCGACAGCAAAGAGGACAAGGAAAAGGAGAAAAUUGAAGAAGGUCAGAAGGAAAGCGUUCCUGAAAAGCGAACGUGGAAGUACUAUGUAAAGUCAGAAUCAUCCGGUAAGAAGCACCACCUUACAUGUGACACAUGCGGUGAAUCGAUCCACAAGCGGGAAAUGGAAGGUCACGUGAACAAACACUUGGGGCGGCGACCUUACUCCUGCGAUGUGCCUGGAUGUACGCAAGCCUUUUAUGGGUUGCGAGGAAUUAAGGAACACAAGAUGGUGGUUCACUCGGAUAAGGUCAUUCGGUACGAGUGCAGUAUUUGCAACAGGUCCAUAAAGGGUUCCGGAACGUUCAAACGCCACGUCAUGAUGCACAAUUCGGACAUGAAAGUGUCCUGCCAGCACUGCGGGAAAAAGUUCACCUCCAAGAGCUACCUCAAGGCGCACGAGCUCAAGCACACCGGUGAGCGUCCGUUUGUCUGUGAAGUUUGCGGAAGCUCAUUUGCCAUGAAGGCCUGCUGGAAGAUGCACAUGAAAACGGUACACCAGCCGGGGAAACCACCCAAGAAGGAGCCGAAGCGGCCGCCGCGCAAGCGCAAGGCUGCCGUAAAAAAGGAUUCGGAACCGGCUGCCGUUCAGAAGCAGGUGAUCGUGGAACCACCGGUGGUGCCCCCACAGGCGUCGUGGACCAUCAACAUCCAGACGGCUGAGCAGUACACGCAGUCGCAACAGCGAAAUCAGCAUCAAGUGACGGCGCCGCAGCAACAACAGGUCAUUGUGCAAAUUGUGGAAGCUCCCAGUUAUGCCACGGUGGAAACGGUGCGGACUGAUCAUUCGUACUGACAAGAAGUAGAUCGCAAAAAGCAAUCAGAUUCUAUCGAUGAACACCUAAUGUCAAGGAUCCCUCGCGUCGCCGUGGUAGAAGGAAGAAAGCUGACGCUGAAAAAGAGCAAACAAUAUUUGAACACCACUUUAAAAGUUUUCAAACACUUAUUUUCA